rnacentral:rRNA from 1 species
AGUGAACGCUGGCGGUAGGCCUAACACAUGCAAGUCGAGCGGCAGCACAGUAAGAGCUUGCUCUUACGGGUGGCGAGUGGCGGACGGGUGAGGAAUACAUCGGAAUCUACUUUUUCGUGGGGGAUAACGUAGGGAAACUUACGCUAAUACCGCAUACGACCUACGGGUGAAAGCAGGGGAUCUUCGGACCUUGCGCGAUUGAAUGAGCCGAUGUCGGAUUAGCUAGUUGGCGGGGUAAAGGCCCACCAAGGCGACGAUCCGUAGCUGGUCUGAGAGGAUGAUCAGCCACACUGGAACUGAGACACGGUCCAGACUCCUACGGGAGGCAGCAGUGGGGAAUAUUGGACAAUGGGCGCAAGCCUGAUCCAGCCAUACCGCGUGGGUGAAGAAGGCCUUCGGGUUGUAAAGCCCUUUUGUUGGGAAAGAAAAGCAGCAGGUUAAUACCCCGCUGUUCUGACGGUACCCAAGGAAUAAGCACCGGCCAACUUCGUG